rnacentral:misc_RNA from 1 species
AAUUCUCAAAUUACAAACUUGUUUUUGUAAUUUGGAUAGUUGGGUAUUGCCUGUACUAUGUUUAUGUAGUGGGCUUUCCUUAAAUAUAUAAGUGGCGGUUUUCAGAAACUUGUUUGAUGUUGUAAAUUUAAUACAUCUAUUUUUCUGAUUAUAUUGCUUCUCAUAAUUCUUUUAUAAUGAUAU